UUUCUAUAUGAUGAUUUUUUCAAGUAGGAAUCUCAUUGAGCUUCAGUCAUUCGUUGCCAUGAAAUCAACUUCUUUUC
rnacentral:snoRNA from 1 species